GGAGAGAUGGCUCAGUGGUUAAGAGCACUGACUGUUAUUCCAAAGGUCCUGAGUUCAAUUCCCAGCAACCACA
rnacentral:tRNA from 1 species